GAUGCAGCUCGGAUCCGGCGACCCCUAGCCUGAGAACCUCCAUAUGCCGCACCUCCUAAAAGGACAAAAGACAAAAAAUAAAAAUAAAAGUGGGAACACGGGAAGCCCAGCAUGCUGGUAGCACGUGCUCAUGGCCGGGCACACACCUGCCCCAGCCCCUGGCAGGGCCGCUCCCGGCUUCCAUAACUUAGGAACAAGCCACACCCCUGCCACGUGGAACAAGAGCAAUUCAGAGCGACCAGGUGGCAGGACUUAGAGCCUAAACCCACGUGAAGCACCUGCUCGCCACGCCCACGAACGGACCUGCACACACUUCCUUCCAACCCUCCGGGGCAAAGAGGACAUCAAACGCUUACGCAGAGGACUUAGUGCACAGUCUUGCAAAUAUAUUUUUUUUUAAAUGUGGUUCUAGAAAGAUUUGAAAAAAACAGUAUGAUCCAGAGAACAUCCGGAUUCUCCCAUUUCCCCCGUGAGACGGAGCUCCCUCUAGCGGGAGGAAGAGGAAACGUCCAGGGAGAGCAAGCGGGUUGGAUGCACCCCGGCCCAGGGGCUCUGAGAAGGGGUCCUGCAGCCUGACCCUCUCAGGCGGUCAUGGGGCAUAAGAAGCCCCCAGAGACUGGACACCUGGGGACAGACGGAGCCCAGGGAAAUGCUAACCUCAAGGGCCACCUCUUCCAUGAAGCCUACCCUGAUGCUCCAUGGGGAGAAUCAGCCCUCUUGCCUCCUAGCCUAUUCGUCAUUCACCUUGUAUGGAAUCUUCUAGAAGAUGACACGAGUCGGGACAUGCUUAGCCCAGCGCCCGGCACCAGGUAACUAUCAUGGACAUAGGAGGUAUUCUCCUUUUCUCUCUGGCUGCCUUUAAGAUCUUCUCUUUGUGUUUGAUGUCUUUGAAUUUCAUGCUGCUGUGUCUUGGCUGGAUGGCCU
rnacentral:lncRNA from 1 species